AGUGAACGCUGGCGGUAGGCCUAACACAUGCAAGUCGAACGGCAGCACAGUAAGAGCUUGCUCUUACGGGUGGCGAGUGGCGGACGGGUGAGGAAUACAUCGGAAUCUACUUUUUCGUGGGGGAUAACGUAGGGAAACUUACGCUAAUACCUCAUACGACCUACGGGUGAAAGUAGGGGAUCUUCGGACCUUGCGCGAUUGAAUGAGCCGAUGUCGGAUUAGCUAGUUGGCGGGGUAAAGGCCCACCAAGGCGACGAUCCGUAGCUGGUCUGAGAGGAUGAUCAGCCACACUGGAACUGAGACACGGUCCAGACUCCUAAGGGAGGCAGCAGUGGGGAAUAUUGGACAAUGGGCGAAAGCCUGAUCCAGCCAUACCGCGUGGGUGAAGAAGGCCUUCGGGUUGUAAAGCCCUUUUGUUGGGAAAGAAAAGCAGCAGGUUAAUAACCCGCUGUUCUGACGGUACCCAAAGAAUAAGCACCGGCUAACUUCGUG
rnacentral:rRNA from 1 species